rnacentral:piRNA from 1 species
UGGUGAUAUAAUGGAGUAGUUUGCCCACAC